ACAGAUUGGAACUUAACACAACAGUACCUCUUUUGAAUUGAGGAUGAAUUAACUGUUCUGUGUGCUGCGCUCUGUGGCAUUUAAUCGCUGUUGAAUUAAUCUAAUUAACCUCACUUAUUUAAUGAUUUUAAAAAGCACAAUACGUGGUAAUGGACUAAUAAAUAUUAAAGUAACACAAUGAUAACAUAACAACGUUGUCACUAUGAAUGAUAGUGUGAGGGAAUAUGCCAGACGAACCGCUAAACCAAUAAAAAUAAGGCACAAAAACCUGGGCAGUGAACCAGAUAAUUUCCUUCAAUUUGAGG
rnacentral:lncRNA from 1 species